CAGGAAACCAGACCGCCUGAAACCAACUAACUUGUGGCGACUGCAUUCUCGUCAACUGCCAUGUCUGGCACGUACUGAAUCUUGGCUUAAGUUAAAAGAGUCUCCCACUCCCUUCCAAAGCCUAACAUCAUCCUCUGAAGACAAACCUUGCAGCCUAAGUUUCAGAAUCUCCUUCUCUAUGUCAAUCAAACUUCUAACUCGAUGCCUGCGACUUCGAUAGAUUUGAACUGCAUACUCGACUGUUGCAGUUAUAGGAAUCCCAAGGUCGAUACUGCCUCUAGAACCAGUGAUAUCAAUGAUUCUUUCCCAGCUGCGACCAUUCAUCGAACCAAAAAGAAGCCCUUGCUCCACUGCGUAUUUCAAUCCGAACCAAAAAGAAGCCCUUUCAUCAACUUUUAACAAUGUAUUUGCUUUUAUAUAUUUGAGUAUUAAUAACAAUUUUAUAUAACCAUCUUGGUAUAUAUAGUCUAUAAAAAUAAUUAUUUUUAUUGAUAAACACUAAU
rnacentral:lncRNA from 1 species